ensembl:lncRNA
CGUACACUGAAAAAACGAACUUGGUGGUGUAGUAAAAUAUACUAAUUAAACUGUCCUAAUGUCUACAAUUAAAUUUUUCGUUUCUGCUGGAACUAGAUUUUGUCAAGUAAAAUUACAUGUAUGUACACAAUUUAUUUAUGUAUUUAAAAUGGCUGUGUGGAAGGAGUAAGUCUUAUUAUGGAUGUUUUCAUAACAUUUAAAUGUUUUUUAGUCUCUGCUAGAAACACUAAAAUACUGAGUAAAUUUUACGACACUAUUUUAGAGUGCGUUUGAAUCAGCGCAUGCGCAUUGGGACAAACGAAAGAACCGCGCAGAUGUCCAUUGUCCGUUCGUUGGCAGCAGACAGAGUUGUGAAUAUCUCCGGAAUCUCUCAGGUAAGUAACAGCUUUAUCCAUAAAAUAAUUUAUUAUCAGUUUAAAACGCGUUUCGGUGAUUAGUUUGAAGCAUUGUAUGGACUGCAUACUGAGCGGUCUACACCAAGGUUUGUGUGAUGUAGCUUGAUGCUAGCUUGCUAGUUAUUAGCCAGUUCAUUCCACCAGAGUCGCACACCGCGCGGUUAAUUUGCGAGAUACUAUAUCUUAUUCAGAGCUAUUGUAUUUUGUCUCAUGUACUGUCCCGUGUAGUGCGAAUAUAACACAACGCUACGCCAAAGUUUUUCGUUUUUUUAGUUAUUGUCUAUGUGCUUUCACCUCGAAACAUCAUCUCAACUUUUAGCAUGGCGGCCGCGUUGCGGUGUAUCGUUGAAGCUGCGUGCCACGGUCAAGAGACAAACACAACAUGAAAAUGGCUGUAAAUGAAUCUAUAAAUUAUAAGUUGCCCUUAAAAAUGUGUUUUCAUUCACAGGCGACUGUUUUUGUAUUUAGCCGGCUGGGACAUGAGGUGACCAGAGAGUCAGGAGCGCUGGGCUGUUCAGUGACUAAUCAAAUACUGCACCGUUGUGAUUAGUUCAGAUCAAGAUCUACAGAUCAAGGAGGAGUUUUGGAGAAUAACUACAAUUUCUCUAGAGCAAAGCUUCAUGUACAAACUAGACCACUAUACACCAAAGCUUACUGCCCUGAUGAAAGCCAAGGGAGGUGUUGUGGGGACCAGGCUGAGGCCCCAUCUGGAUAAACUGAGUCAGAACCCAAGCACUGACAUGAGACGUGACGCAGUAAUCCGUGGCCUCAUACUAUUCCUUGGUGAAAAAGAAGAGAAACUUUUCGAAGAUUGCCUGGAGGACAAUCGCAGUGAUGCCACUCAACACAUAGUCAAGAUCCUGGUUGUCCAUGGUACUGAUGGAGAAGAACCAGUAGAUGUUUCCAUCAUUCUUGAAGGGAAGGAGGUAUUGACAGGAUGCCAAAGCUUGCACGUUGCUAAUGGGACUGAUUUAUUCCCUGAACCUUGCC